rnacentral:rRNA from 1 species
GAUGAACGCUGGCGGCGUGCCUAAUACAUGCCAGUCGAGCGAACAGACGAGGAGCUUGCUCCUCUGACGUUAGCGGCGGACGGGUGAGUAACACGUGGAUAACCUACCUAUAAGACUGGGAUAACUUCGGGAAACCGGAGCUAAUACCGGAUAAUAUAUUGAACCGCAUGGUUCAAUAGUGAAAGACGGUUUUGCUGUCACUUAUAGAUGGAUCCGCGCCGCAUUAGCUAGUUGGUAAGGUAACGGCUUACCAAGGCAACGAUGCGUAGCCGACCUGAGAGGGUGAUCGGCCACUCUGGAGCUGAGACACGGUCCAGACUCCUACGGGAGGCAGCAGUAGGGAAUCUUCCGCAAUGGGCGAAAGCCUGACGGAGCAACGCCGCGUGAGUGAUGAAGGUCUUCGGAUCGUAAAACUCUGUUAUUAGGGAAGAACAAAUGUGUAAGUAACUAUGCACGUCUUGACGGUACCUAAUCAGAAAGCCACGGCUAACUACGUG